rnacentral:rRNA from 1 species
AAGGGUGNGUAGGUGGUUAUGUAAGUCAGAAGUGAAAGCCCUGGGCUCAACCCGGGUAAUUGUUUUGAAACUAUGUAGCUAGAGUUCGAGAGAGGUAAGUGGAAUAUCCAGUGUAGAGGUAAAAUUCGUAGAUAUUGGAUGGAACACCGGUGGCGAAGGCGGCUUACUGGCUCGAUACUGACACUGAGGCACGAAAGCGUGGGGAGCAAACAGGAUUAGAUACCCUGGUAGUCCACGCUGUAAACGAUGAAUGCUAGUUGGUUGGAAAGUCUAACUUUUCAGUGACGCCGUUAACACAUUAAGCAUUCCGCCUGGGGAGUGCAUUCGCAAGGAUGAAACUCAAAGAAAUUGACGGGGGCCCNCACAAGCGGG